rnacentral:rRNA from 1 species
AUACGGAGGGUGCAAGCGUUAUUCGGAAUCACUGGGCGUAAAGGACGCGUAGGCGGGUUGGCAAGUCAGAUGUGAAAUCCUACAGCUUAACUGUAGAACUGCAUUUGAAACUGCUAACCUAGAGUAUGGGAGGGGGAGAUGGAAUUAGUGGUGUAGGGGUAAAAUCCGUAGAUAUCACUAGGAAUACCGAAAGCGAAGGCGAUCUCCUGGAACAUAACUGACGCUAAGGCGUGAAAGCGGGGGGAGCAAACAGGAUUAGAUACCCUAGUAGUCC